UCGGGAAUCUUGCACAAUGGGCGAAAGCCUGAUGCAGCAACACCGUGUGAACGAUGAAGGCCUUAGGGUUGUAAAGUUCUGUUGUUGGGGACGAAGGGUGAAGGGUUAAUAGCCCGGAACCUGACGGUACCCUUCGAGGAAGCCCCGGCUAACUACGUGCCAGCAGCCGCGGUAAUACGUAGGGGGCGAGCGUUGUCCGGAAUUAUUGGGCGUAAAGAGCGUGUAGGCGGUUCGGUAAGUCUGCUGUGAAAUCCUGGGGCUCAACCCUGGGCGUGCAGCGGAUACUGCCGGGCUAGAGGGUGGUAGAGGCGAGUGGAAUUCCCGGUGUAGCGGUGAAAUGCGCAGAUAUCGGGAGGAACACCAGUAGCGAAGGCGGCUCGCUGGGCCACACCUGACGCUGAGACGCGAAAGCGUGGGGAGCGAACAGG
rnacentral:rRNA from 1 species